rnacentral:misc_RNA from 1 species
GAUCGUGUUUCUUACAGGCAUGGGUAAUGCUUCUAUUCUUAUCAGUAGUUCAUGAUCUUACUAUAAGUAACUCUUGAUGUGCAUGCUAGCAUUUGAAUGAAUAAUGAUUUCAUGGACUUUUUAUCAGCAUCGCACUGAUGCUAAAUUUAUUUUGCUGCCAUGCCAAAAUUUUGGAGAUCCUGAAAUUUUUCGAUGUUAUAUAGGAUUUCCCUCAAUUCUUUAUUUAUUUCAAAUGAUUAUUUUUAGAAUACAAUGGACAGAAUGUCGCAUCAAUAGUUUGGGAACUCUAAAUUUGAUUGUACAUCAGAACAUUUGAGGAAUACUCUCCAAUCCCAGGAUAAUAGAGGAGGCAAAUUUUACAUGAGGGCUUUAGUUGAGGGUGGGCGAUAUCUCAUCUCUGCCCUGGAUAGGUACUUUGCUGAAAAAUAAUUGUAAUUUUACUCGUCUAAGUACUGUUGCUCCUGUAACUCCUGUAUGCCCAUUACCAUAUCUAGCAGAUGGUGCCUCUUUGCAUUUGGCAGGUGCACUUGCAGUGGCACAGCCAGUUGACUCUUUUUAGUCAUUGUUGUUAUCUGUCACCAUAACUAUCUAAAUAUUGGGGAUGAAAAAUGGGUGAUGAUGGGUGCAAACUUAGGUGAGGAGUGUUUUGCGAGAUUGUUUUAUAAUUAAACAGGCCUGGCAUUUGUUGUUAGAUCAACUUGUCAUGAGCUAGGAGAACCUAUUUGAUUGUCUUAGAAAUUCUGCUUGACAUAUAAUGUCCAGCUUUUCUCAAGCAUGAUGGGAUUUUAAUUUUGCUUUGCAUUGUCUCUUCAAUCAUAAUGAAUGGGACAAAAAGGAUGCUUUGUGACAACAUUAAUAACUUAAAAUGGGCUACAUUUAUGUGAAAAAGAAGAAUGGUUGUGGAAGACAGAUGAAUUGGUAUUGAUGCAAUGGAG